rnacentral:rRNA from 1 species
UAGGGAAUCUUCCACAAUGGACGCAAGUCUGAUGGAGCAACGCCGCGUGAGUGAAGAAGGGUUUCGGCUCGUAAAGCUCUGUUGUUAAAGAAGAACGUGGGUAAGAGUAACUGUUUACCCAGUGACGGUAUUUAACCAGAAAGCCACGGCUAACUACGUGCCACCAG